GACGGAGGAUGCAAGCGUUAUCCGGAAUGAUUGGGCGUAAAGCGUCCGCAGGUGGCAGUUCAAGUCUGCUGUCAAAGACCGGGGCUUAACUUCGGAAGGCAGUGGAAACUGACAGCUAGAGUAUGGUAGGGGCAGAGGGAAUUCCUGGUGUAGCGGUGAAAAUGCGUAGAGAUCAGGAAGAACAUCGGUGGCGAAGGCGCUCUGCUGGACCAUAACUGACACUCAGGGACGAAAGCUAGGGGAGCGAAUGGG
rnacentral:rRNA from 1 species